UUUUUCUGUCAAAUCAAGUGUAGGUGAUUAUGGAAUUUGAAAGUAUGAUAGUAAGUGUAGGAAAAUGCAUGCAAAAUGAUUAAAAUGAACGAAAAAUUUUCAAGGGUAGAAAAUCGGGUCGUUACAAGGAUGGUGGUUGCACCAUGUUGGCGUGCCCACUCCAAGUUAAGAGUUGAGGCAUGGUGCUUGGGCUAAGGCCCUAGUGUCAUGACUCCUAGAGAAGAGGGCAAAGCGUGAGGCUGGUUUCACAGAGCAGCGAACACCUCUAGCUCCUAACAGUGGAGGGAUCACAUGCUACUGCACUUUCAUCC